CAAUGGAACUGAAACACGGUCCAUACACCUACGGGUGGCAGCAGUAGGGAAUAUUAGUAAUGGGCGAAAGCCUGAACUAGCAACGCCGCGUGUGCGAAGAAGGCCUUCGGGUCGUAAAGCACUUUUUGAGAGGAUGAGGAAGGACGGUACUCUCAGAAUAAGUCUCGGCUAACUACGUGCCAGCAGCCGCGGUAACACGUAGGAGGCAAACGUUAUCCGGAUUUACUGGGCGUAAAGCGCGUGUAGGUGGUUUGGUAAGUAGGGCGUGAAAGCUCCUGGCUCAACUGGGAGAGGACGUUCUAAACUGCCAAGCUUGAGGAUGGUAGAGGGAGGUGGAAUUCCGGGUGUAGCGGUGGAAUGCGCAGAUAUCCGGAGGAACACCAGUGGCGAAGGCGGCCUCCUGGACCACUCCUGACACUCAGACGCGAAAGCUAGGGUAGCAAACGGGAUUAGAGACCCCGGUAGUCCUAGCCCUAAACGAUGUAGACUUGGCGUCGGUGGUUUAAUCGCCAUCGGUGUCGUAGCUAACGCGAUAAGUCUACCGCCUGGGGACUACGGCCGCAAGGUUAAAACUCAAAGGAAUUGACGGGUCCCCGCACAAGCAGCGGAGCGUGUGGUUUAAUUCGAUGCUACACGAAGAACCUUACCUGGGUUUGACAUAGAGGUAGUAGGGAAGCGAAAGCGGACCGACCCUUCGGGGAGCCUCUACAGGUGUUGCAUGGCUGUCGUCAGCUCGUGUCGUGAGAUGUUCGGUUAAGUCCGCUAACGAGCGCAACCCUCGCUGUGUGUUACAAGUGUCACACGGUACUGCCGAUAUUAAGUCGGAGGAAGGUGGGGAUGACGUCAAGUCAGCAUGACCUUUAUAUCCAGGGCUACACACACGCUACAAUGGCCAGUACAAUGGGUUGCCAAGCCGCGAGGCGGAGCCAAUCCUAAAAAGCUGGCCUCAGUUCAGAUUGCAGUCUGCAACUCGACUGCAUGAAGUUGGAGUUGCUAGUAACCGCAGGUCAGCAAUACUGCGGUGAAUACGUUCCCGGGGAUUGUACACACCGCCCGUCAAGUCAUGGA
rnacentral:rRNA from 1 species